rnacentral:rRNA from 1 species
UGGGGAAUAUUGGACAAUGGGCGAAAGCCUGAUCCAGCCAUGCCGCGUGUGUGAAGAAGGUCUUCGGAUUGUAAAGCACUUUAAGUUGGGAGGAAGGGUUGUAGAUUAAUACUCUGCAAUUUUGACGUUACCGACAGAAUAAGCACCGGCUAACUCUGUGCCAGCAGCCGCGGUAAUACGGGGGGUGCAAGCGUUGUUCGAAAUUACUGGGCGUAAAGCGUACGUAGGCGGUUCGGUAAGUCCCAUGUGAAAUCCCACGGCUCAACCGUGGAAGGUCAUGGGAAACUGCCAGGCUAGAGUGUGAAAGGGGAGAGUGGAAUUCCCAGUGUAGUGGUGAAAUACGUAGAUAUUGGGAGGAACACCGGUGGCGAAAGCGACUCUCUGGUUCAUAACUGACGCUGAGGUACGAAAGCGUGGGGAGCAAACAGGAUUAGAUACCCUCGUAGUCCCUGAG